rnacentral:lncRNA from 1 species
CCAGAUCACGAAAAGAAGCACUCUCGUCGUACUUGUUAUUUACAGCAUCCUAUCAAAUGUAAAUUUAAAAAGAAAAAAUGAACUGCCCAGACUCAGGAUAAUAAUAAAAAGAGCACCUUCAUUUGAAAGGGUUCUAUGAUUGCUAUCAAGUAGACCACACAGUGAAAAGGACUUCUUUUGAGAAGAAGAAACAGUGAUAUUGUAGAUCUGCUGACAAAGACACUGCUGGGAACCAUAUUUACACUUCAACAAGGCAAAACCCAAAAGUGGUUUGAUAUUCUUACAAUGAUCCAACAAAGUCUAGUAAAUGAUUUACAUCUUCUAUGCUUCCAAUCUAAUCUAUCUUCAUUAGCUGUUGUUCCUUGGAUAAAUUGUUCCAGUACCUCGAAAAGCUUAGCAAUCCUAUUGAUCUCCCCAGUCAUUUAGUAAUCUUCUGAAGUUUAUAUUCCAACCCUGCUGCCCCCAAGUCUCAUGAAUAGUUGCAUCAGGUGUUUGUGAGGUUGAAUAGAUCUGAUAUACCUCCUUCACAGGCUGAGAGCCAACUUUGUAACUGAUAUUUUUGCAAAGAACGCCCCAUACUUACACUCAACCGUCAGGUUCUUAUACCGGAGUACCUUAGUACGUGAAGAACUUAGGUCCACAAAAACCUUAGCCCUGAAAGGAAAUUUAUUUAAGCAGUAAUGUAAGUGACUAAGAGAUGACAUAACAGUCAAAGAAGAAUGUGAGCUCUUCUCUUUUCCACUUCUGAUAUAACAGUGACACAAUGAACUGUAAAACUGAUUAGAACAGAAGACGUCCACCUCUAAGAGAAGUGAAACUGCUUAUCAAACAGAAAAACAAUUGCUGAUACCAUGAGCACCAUUACAUGAAGCACCAAGUCCAAGAGGACCAUUGACCUAAAGGAACGCCAGUAACACCAAUGCAUACGGAGAGGCAAGAUAUUGUCUAGGAAAAACUGUAGUAAGAUAGCUUUACAUUUUCCCUUUCAAUAAAUCAAAAGCUAAGGUAUCACUGACGAGAGUAAUGAGGAGUAAGAUUCACUUAAUCAGAUUCCCGUAUUCUUCUAUCAUGUAAUCAGAUUCUGUAAUAUACUGUGAUCUAUUAAGAGCUAAGAUCUGAUCACACUUAUUAAGAGCUAAGAUCUGAUCACAGUUAUCACAUGUGAUUAAUACUUGACAAACAACUGUUGUGAAUAUGAGAAAGUUAUUACUCCUGGAUAAUUCUGGACAACUGAUGAGUCUCCACGAUGUUGCGUUCAUGAGUCCAACUGUCACCACUUAUUAGUCCGAACUACACAGGAUGAGAAACAUACCAAAGACAUAAUUUCUUCCGUAUCAACACUAACAAAUUCCUUACGAUUCUCAGCACUUCAUACAAGUCACAAAUAAUUGAUACACUGUAAAUUAGCAUUCAGUAUAAUAAUAUCCACAUUUCAUGUUGUUUAACUGUGGCAAUUAUUAUGGGUAGGGCAGUUCAAGUAACAGCAUGCGUUCACCGGAAAAAAAAAAAAAAGAAGAACGAAGAUGAUACCAUGGGUACCAUGAGGAAUCCAAGCCCAAGAAGAUUGUGGCCCCUGAGAAGCCAGUAAACCAUUACAAAGGAGAGACAGAACACAGUAAGAAAAUAUUAUAGUGUAGCUGUACAUUAUUCCUUUCUAUAAUUAAAAAGCUAAGAUAACAUCGAUGAGAGCAGAAGACAGCCUAUAGCCAUUUGAAAGAUCUAUCCACAACAGUAUGUAAUUGGCAUUUAGAUUCAGGAAAUCACAUUCUGUAGUGUACUGUAAUGUAUUAACAACUAAUAUUUGAUUAAAAUUGUCAGUAACUAACUUAAAGCUUCACAAACAACUGAUGUGAUUAUGAUAUAGCGAUAAGUAAUAAUCAACAAAUACAUCUGGAUACCUUACAGGGUCUGCACAAUUUCGCGUACCUGACCAUCUUAACACUCCAAAUCACUGAGGAUGAGAAACUUCCUCU